rnacentral:rRNA from 1 species
CCUCCUCUCGGCAGCAGUAGGGAAUUUUCGGCCAUGGGGGGAACCCUGACCGAGCAACGCCGCGUGAACGAAGAAGUUAUUCGUAAUGUAAAGUUCUUUUAACAGGGAAGAAAGAGACAUUUGACGGUACCUGAAGAAUAAGCUCCGGCUAACUACGUGCCAGCAGACGCUGUCAUACGUAGGGAGCGAGCGUUAUCUGGAAUGAUUGGGCGUAAAGGGUGCGUAGAUGGAAUAGUAAGUCUUUUGUAACAAUGCUGGGCUCAACCCAGUAGGGCAAAAGUUAAUGCAAAGCUAGAGUAUGACAGAGGCAAGUGGAACUACAUGUGUAGCGGUAAAAUGCGUAAAUAUAUGUAAGAACACCAGUGGCGAAGGCGGCUUGCUGGGUCGAUACUGACAUUGAGGCACGAAAGCGUGGGGAGCAAACAGGAUUAGAUACCCGGGUAGUC